AGCCUAAACUAUUGAUUUUUCAAUAGCAUGGUGAAAGAGUCCUGACGGACAUAAAGAACCCAUCAUAUGGGGUGUCCGUCAGGCCAUAUUAGGAAACUAAUAUGAGAGACUUCGGUCUCU
rnacentral:sRNA from 1 species